rnacentral:rRNA from 1 species
UGCUUAACACAUGCAAGUCGAGCGAAUUUCGGCAGCACACCGCCAAAGUUAGCGGCAGACGGGUGAGUAAUACUUGGGCAAUCUGCCCUUGAGUGGGGGACAACCUGCCGAAAGGCGGGCUAAUACCCCAUAAGACCACGGGAAUGCAUAUUCCAGAGGUCAAAGCUCCGUAAGGGGCGCUUGAGGAGGAGCCCGAGUCCUAUCAUGGUAGUUGGCGGGGUAAUGGCCCACCAAGCCGUUGACGGGUAGCCGGCCUGAAAGGGCAACCGGCCACACUGGCACUGAGACACGGGCCAGACUCCUACGGGAGGCAGCAGUGGGGAAUUUUGGACAAUGGGGGCAACCCUGAUCCAGCGACGCCGCGUGAAGGAUGAAGGUCUUCGGAUUGUAAACUUC